rnacentral:rRNA from 1 species
UACGUAGGUGGCAAGCGUUUGUCCGGAUUUACUGGGCGUAAAGAGCGCGCAGGCGGUCGUUCAAGUCGCGUGUGAAAGCCCCCCGGCUCAACUGGGGAGGGUCACGCGAUACUGAUCGACUCGAAGGCAGGAGAGGGUAGUGGAAUUCCCGGUGUAGUGGUGAAAUGCGUAGAUAUCGGGAGGAACACCAGUGGCGAAGGCGACUACCUGGCCUGUUUCUUGACGCUGAGGCGCGAAAGCUAGGGGAGCAAACGGG